rnacentral:rRNA from 1 species
GCUCAACCGGGGAGGGUCAUUGGAAACUGGGGAACUUGAGUGCAGAAGAGGAGAGUGGAAUUCCACGUGUAGCGGUGAAAUGCGUAGAGAUGUGGAGGAACACCAGUGGCGAAGGCGACUCUCUGGUCUGUAACUGACGCUGAGGCGCGAAAGCGUGGGGAGCGAACAGGAUUAGAUACCCUGGUAGUCCACGCCGUAAACGAUGAGUGCUAAGUGUUAGAGGGUUUCCGCCCUUUAGUGCUGCAGCAAACGCAUUAAGCACUCCGCCUGGGGAGUACGGUCGCAAGACUGAAACUCAAAGGAAUUGACGGGGGCCCGCACAAGCGGUGGAGCAUGUGGUUUAAGUCGAAGCAACGCGAAGAACCUUACCAGGUCUUGACAUCCUCUGACACCCCUAGAGAUAGGGCUUCCCCUUCGGGGGCAGAGUGACAGGUGGUGCAUGGUUGUCGUCAGCUCGUGUCGUGAGAUGUUGGGUUAAGUCCCGCAACGAGCGCAACCCUUGAUCUUAGUUGCCAGCAUUCAGUUGGGCACUCUAAGGUGACUGCCGGUGACAAACCGGAGGAAGGUGGGGAUGACGUCAAAUCAUCAUGCCCCUUAUGACCUGGGCUACACACGUGCUACAAUGGGCAGGACAAAG